rnacentral:misc_RNA from 1 species
AAGCCUAUCCCCCCCUUGUUUCCUGUCAAACUGAAUCGUUGACCUUUAGGACGCACUCGCCACACCCACAUCCGCGCGCACGCACAUACGUCAAUACACCUCCCUCCUCUCAACGAAGCAACGCCCAGAGUUGGCAAGGAAGUUCGUGUGCGCCAGACGUCUGGUUACUAUUUUGUUUCAUCUCUCUCUGUUCGACUCGCUGCUGCUCUUCCGUUGUCCCUCAUCCACCGCACCCACCGCCCAUCAGCACCGCCGCCUCCUUGUGCCUUCUUUUUUCCUCUCCUCCCACCUUAUUGUACAGUGUCCUCUGCCGGUAUGACCAGUGAUAUCAGCCUCCCGCGUCCUCAGGCGCGUGAGGAGCGCCUUAUGCACCCGGUGGAGUUCAUUCAGCGCAGUGCGCGACGCCAGGAAGAGGCGCUGCGCAUGCACAACAUCCGCACUACGCACGGCCUGGGCGCCGCGACGGAGGUGGCGCUGACGGAGGUGACCCUGCUCGGCAGCCGUCGUCUCGGGGCCAUGCCUACAAGCAACACCCUCUACAACGCGUACCGCGGCAACUUCACGGAGUUGGCCCCCUGCGACCUCUACGGCCUGCCGGAGAACGACCCGAACGUGCAGCCGACGCCGCGCGCGCUUGUGGAGAAGCAGUUUCACGGCCAUGAGCUGACGAUGAAGACACUCGGCCUGUAAGGCUGGAUACGGUCUGGGUAUUUCCAGCCCGUGUUCCCGGAGAUGCACGCCCACGCACCCAUGCACGAAAUAGAGAAGUCCCAGAGGGGGUUGAAGAGCGCGCACGCUGGCGCGCAAACGCAAAGAAGCGAAAGCAUGCCGUGUACAGUUGCGCUCCCGUUCUCGUCUCCCCUCAUCCGUGUCUGGGCCCCCUCCCUUUUUUUAUGCCGCGGCUGUGCACGCACAUGCUCGAUCGAUGUGGGGGUAGGGCGAUGGCGCGUGAGGAGGGGGGGGGUGGAUUCGACGGGCUUUGCGAGCGCGUUGACCAUGCGCACCGGAUGACCGGCAUUCGCAUGCGUGAGUCACGUAGGCAUUCCCAGAGGGAAGUUGGCGUCGAUGGUGUCGUCUGCGAUUCCGUUUCGUUAUUUUGUGCGUUUCUGCCGACGCUACUCCCUCUCCGUAUACGUGCGCUUGCUCGGGUCCGUCUGACUCGAUCGCUGUGUCUGCGUGUGUCUGUGUGGAGUAUUCGAUUUGUUGUGGCGGUCGCCCACGAUGUGGUGGUGGUUGCCUGCGCAAGGCUUUGCGUGCCUCCGUGUUGUCUCUCGUUUUCUUGUCAGUUCUUUCCCGCCGUCACUCCGCCUUUCUCUCGCAUCCUCCCUUUUCUUGUUGUGGCUGACGUACUGUCCUCCGGCCCGCCGAGCUCCUUUGACAGGCUCGUGACCUCUCCGUCUCUCUUUGGGAGAGAGGGGGGUGCGCCACUGGUGGAUGAGAGAAUGAGAAAGUAAUCGCGAAACAAAAUAUGCUUGGUCUAACGGCGGUGAUGGUGGCAGGAUGGUUACACGGAAAGGGCUGCUGCUGUGCGCUGUGUCUGGGGCUCGAAGGGAAGCGGGAAAGGCACAUGGCCAACAGCUUCACUGCACUCCCUUUGUUGGCCGCGUUCGCCAGCUCACCCUCUGCGAGCCUUGUGUCGUACAGUGCAGCCCGGUAACCACUGCGGCAUCGCGCAUCCGGUCCGCUUCUGCAAAGGAUUGAUGCCAAGCCCCUCCCCUUGUUACACACGCACCUCUCUCUUCAGCUUCCUGCCCUCUAGACGUCUCCUUUUCGCUGCAGCAUCCUGCACCACG